CCAGACAGCCAGGAUGUUGGCUUAGAAGCAGCCAUCAUUUAAAGAAAGCGUAAUAGCUCACUGGUCGAGUCGGCCUGCGCGGAAGAUGUAACGGGGCUAAACCAUGCACCGAAGCUGCGGCAGCGACGCUGAUGCGUUGUUGGGUAGGGGAGCGUUCUGUAAGCCUGCGAAGGUGGCCUGUGAGGGUUGCUGGAGGUAUCAGAAGUGCGAAUGCUGACAUAAGUAACGAUAAAGCGGGUGAAAAGCCCGCUCGCCGGAAGUC
rnacentral:rRNA from 1 species